UGGGGAAUCUUGGACAAUGGGCGCAAGCCUGAUCCAGCCAUGCCGCGUGAGUGAAGAAGGCCUUAGGGUUGUAAAGCUCUUUUACCAGGGAUGAUAAUGACAGUACCUGGAGAAUAAGCUCCGGCUAACUCCGUGCCAGCAGCCGCGGUAAUACGGAGGGAGCUAGCGUUGUUCGGAAUUACUGGGCGUAAAGCGUACGUAGGCGGUGACUCAAGUCAGAGGUGAAAGCCUGGAGCUCAACUCCAGAACUGCCUUUGAAACUAGGUCGCUAGAAUCACGGAGAGGUGAGUGGAAUUCCGAGUGUAGAGGUGAAAUUCGUAGAUAUUCGGAAGAACACCAGUGGCGAAGGCGGCUCACUGGACGUGUAUUGACGCUGAGGUACGAAAGCGUGGGGAGCAAACAGGAUUAGAUACCCUUGUAGUCCCUGAGCGGGCUGGCAAGGCGCAU
rnacentral:rRNA from 1 species